CAAGGUUCUCAUUGACCUGAGGAUAGCUUGAGGAAGUCCCAGGCAUCCUCCUGUUUCCACCUGGGAUCACAGAUGUACUACCUUGUCCUGCUUUUUAUAUUGGUUCUGGAGAUGGAGUUCAGGUCCUCACAGAAGGAUUUGGGCGGCUGCCUCCUACUUGCUCAAAUCCCCAGCUGUCACUCAUAGCCCUGGAACCUUGGAGACACUGGCAUCAUGGCAAUUAAAUCCAUAAGGGCAACUGCCAUGAUAAUAAUAAUGAUGACAGCUACCACUUACUAAACACUCACUAUGUGCAAGGCGUUCUCUGCGCUUUCUGUGCAAUAAUAGUCCGACUAAUCCUCCCAGCAACCCUCUGAAAUCUGUGUUACUAUUUUUUUCCAAUUAAAAAAAAAUAUCUGCAUCUGGGUGUGGUGGCUUGCACCUGUAGUCCCGGCUAUGCUAGAGACCAAAACAGGCGGAUAACCAGAGUUCAGAAACUGGAAACCAGUCUGGAAAAACUAGCAGUGGAGACUCCAACUGCAAGCAAGAACAACAAAAAUGGUUUAAGUGUCUAUUCUAUCCAGAGUUAGCUGGUAGCUUCUUUUUUCUUUGUUGAUAGCACAAAACCCUGUUUCUCUUCAUUCACAUUGUUUUUAUCUUUGUUGCAUACAGCCUUUAUCAUUGUGUAUCUUUCGCAACUACCCUUAUUAGUGUAUCUUUUGAAGUAUUGUUUUUAUUAGCCUUGACUACUUAUCUUCAUCACUGUGUAUCUUUUCCUACUAUUUUUUUUCUUUAAUUAAGAUGUGGGCUUGGCAUGUAGCUUAGUUGGUAGAGUGUUUGCCUAUUGUCCUGUUGGGAACAAGCAAAAUAAACUUAUUCUUAGGACUAGCACUUCAUUUUCAGACUCCAUUGAAUCAUCAGGAGGAACUAAAUGCAAGGUCCCAGGACCUUGGGGACCUGGGGACUUCCCAAAGGCUCAACAGCUUCUGUUGUAAACAGUUGGUUGUCUGAGUUCAGACCUCUCAGGGACAACUUCUCCUUCUACCUGGCAGCAUCAAACAAGUUCAUGUUCCCAGGCCUAGGAAGGAACAACUAGCCCACUUCUCCAAAUGUUUUCUUGAUUGUCUGCUAAUGGGUAAAGAAUAUAGAAACUGUGGUGGUGAGAGAAUGACAUAAACUCCAUUUUAGGACCAGGCCUGACUUCAAAAAGAAAGUCAUCCGUUCUAGGAAAUGACCAUAAAAUCCCCCUAAGUCAUCCAUUCCAGGAAGUGACCAUAACCUCCUCCCCCCCAAGUCAUCAGUCCCAAGAACUAGGCCAUAAAAUUCCCCCAUCCAAAGAACAGCCUGGUGAAAUAUCUUAUCUCAGGAUGGGCCAACUGUGUUGGGCGUCUUUAUAUGGUUUGGCUAUCUCAUCCCAUGGCUAAAUGUUCAUGAUACAGGAAUGCAGUCCAUCGACCACCUGGACAUGAGCUAAUCAAAAAACCGACCCAUGUAACAUACCUGGCACCCAUCAAUAAAGAUGACCUAACCCUAGCUAAAAUUCCCCUAGCUCCCUAUAAAAAAGCCCUGUGAGCUCCUGUCUGUAGUCGUAGCCAUUUUUGUAAGCGGCCGAUCCUGCAUGCAAGCUUCCUGCUCUCGUGAAUUAAAAGCACUCUUGCCAAUUGCACAUGGGAGUGGUGGUCUCCAUGCAGUUCUUUUGAACUUAACAGUGGUUAUCUAAGCCAAGGGGCAUAUGUUGUAAAAAAUACAUAACCAAUUGGCUGUUAUUCCCUGAUGAAGUACAUGAAGCUGACCAGCUCCUUUGUCAUCUUGCCCCUCUGAUGUUGGUGUGACUCUGUUUCUGUCCACAUGCUCCCUCAUCAGUCUGUCUCUCACUCGACUUUGAAACCCUGGGUCAAAGUUCUUCCUCAGCCUCAUCUCCUUUAGACCUCAUCUUGCAGUGUUUCCAGAAGAAAGCCAGAAUUUGGUUGCCCUGAUAGGACAUUGGCUCUCUUCCCUCUCCUCCCCAACACUACUGGUAUGCUUGGUGUGCCAGCCUGGCUGUGUCUGCCAAUUUAUGUCUAUAGUUUUAAUUGCGUGAUUGUUGCUCAGUGUUUCCUAUUCAGGGGAAAGGGCCAAACUUCACCGCCUGGCCAGUCACCCCUUGACUUAGUUUUAAUUCAUUUCAAGUAUUUUCAGGAAAAAAAAAAGUGAAUUGGGACAACAAAAAUGGAUGAACUGACUCUGCUCAUGUAGCCCCUGCACAGGAAGCUAGUGAGCCCUGCUGGAGAAGCCCUGCCUCCUGACUGGAUCAGUUGGAUUCAGCAGAUGACAAGGACCUCCUCCCUUGAAAUUACAGCUGGAGGUAGUAAGGAAAGUUUGUCUGUCUGUUUUAAAUGUUUCAAUGCAUGUGGCCAUUGCAUAUUUGUUUCUUCAGUAUAUAGAUUUACUGUGGCAUGUGUAAAAUCUCU
rnacentral:lncRNA from 1 species